UUCCUAUGAAGAUUAUGCAAAUUAUAUAUCAUAUAAAUAUAAAAGUGCGCCAAUAGCCCUGAACAUAUAUUCCAACAAUUUGAGAAAUAAAUAUAUAUAUUACAUGUAUCUCAUGUGGAUUAUGUCAAGUUGUCAACAGGUUAAGUCACGGAAAAAAGUUAAAUAUUUAUAAAUGCAGCAUCAAACUGAGAAAGAGAGAAGGGAAAUCCAUUUGACAGAUAUCCAAAUAUUCAAAAAAAACGAAAGCAAUUUUAGCUAGUCUUCCUGGCAAUCGGCUUACCCUAUGGCAGAUCACUGGUUCUUACAAGGUGCAGAAACACUUGGUUGAGACGGCAAGUAUAACUGUAUAAGUGUAUAAUCACUUGUAAUCCACUUGCACACACAACUGACAUAACAAAUACAAAAUUUACAUACCGUUGUCAUCGAAGGCUCAACUCUCCGAUUCCCCUCCCUACCUUAGAAACUUCUACUGUUUAUGGGCUCCAGUCUCGUUGGUCGCUGCCUCAGAAACACCUGGUUGAGGCGGCAAAUCAGUAUAAUCACUUGUAAUCCACUUGUACACAAUUGACAUAACAAAAUUCCAAAUUACAUACCUAUGCAAUCGUCGAAGGCUCAGCUCUUCGAUUCCCCUACUUUGGAAUUUCGACUGUUUAUGGGCUCUACUCUCGCUGUCUGAUUUAUGGGCUACUACAAAAUACAUGUGAACAUCUGGAGGCUGGAAUCAAAUCAUGAGUUAGACAACACUUUUAUCAUUAAAAGAGAUAUAAGAACUGGAGGAUAUCCAAAGGUGCAGAAUACUUAUGCUAGAAGAUCUAGUUAUUUUGAGCAAAGACAUCCAUUUUACAUAUAUUACAGUAUAUGAAUCACCGGUGUGCUCGUCUUGGCUACGUUUGUCACAUCAUAUGGAUGAUAGUACCAAAGCUGUAAGUUAUCGUCCAACUUAUAAAAGUAUCAAGCUUAAUUCGAUAUUUCACAAUGACCAUAGAGAUUAAGUUUUACCAAGUAAAAUUAAAUUCCUGAAAGUAAAGGUUCUCAACAAUUGUAUUAACUCUACUUAAGCCUACAUACUGAUUUUGAUUAAUGAUUCAGAAUAAACGGAAUCCAGGAACCUAUAUCUCGUAUAUUCAUUUCUAGAAACAAAUGAAGAGGCAAAAGAUAUUUGGAUGAUCAUCAAAGAAAUAGAUAAAAUAAAAUUUUGAAAUCAGGUCCCAUUAAGCGAGCAAGUUUACUAAAAUGUAUUACGAAACCAAUAUAGCAACAAUUUUAAAGCAUUUACUUAAUUUUAUAUUCUACUUUAAGUAGAACUCACCAAACUUAUAAUAACGGGGACAAGCAAGCGGAAAAAUUUACCUUAAUGGAGACCACCAUCCGGAAUAAGACAAUUAUGAUCUGCCUCAGAUAUAAGAUCCUGCAUUAGAGAAGUUCUCAUAUUUUUUUAAAUCUCACAACAUACGAAAUCGUGAUUUAAUUGAUUAUAAUUUGAUUAAAAAAUAGCAUUGAAAUAGACAUAUUUGAUUAAAAUAUCAUAUCAUGUCACAUUACCAAUAAAUAUCAUUUUCUUAUUACAUCUACCUUAUUAUUUCCAGUCAAAUCCUUCUUCCUCUGUCCCAUGCUAAACACACAGCCACCACAUCUUUAGUCGUCCUCUUCCACUUCUUUUAUACAUGUAACAUGAUAGCCAUUGUGAAGGAAAAAUUAUGGCCGUUUUAUCAGAAGUAUGCUGGGUUAUGCUUGGAGACUCAAGGAUUUCCUCAGUGAAUCAGCCGAAUUCCCCUUCACAAAUUGCAAGUCCAGGUGAGACCUAUAAGCACAUUCUGGUCUAUAGGUUCAUAGCAAAGUAGAAUGAAGCAUCUGGCUAUUAUAAAAUUUAAAUAUUAUAUUAAUAAUAUAAAUAAAAUUAUGAAGUGGUAUCAUAGUGUGUGUGAAUGUAAGGUUGCAUGACUGGAGCUUCCUGUAAAUAACUGGGGGAGGAUGGAAGUCUACAGUACACACACCCCAAACAGUGUGCAUUCCAAAUAUCCAAUACAAACCGCAAACAAUUUAUAAAACCCUGAAUAACUCAAAACUUAAAAGUGGGAAGCAAAACAAACGAUGCACUCGAGAAACCAUGUUAUACUGGUGAUGUGAGACCGCACCUGUUCUAUUACUGACCUGCUUUAGCGCAACAGAAGUUCUAAAUCUCCACUAAGUUUUGUUCCUAUGAAGAUUAUGCAAAUUAUAUAUCAUAUAAAUAUAAAAGUGCGCCAAUAGCCCUGAACAUAUAUUCCAACAAUUUGAGAAAUAAAUAUAUAUAUUACAUGUAUCUCAUGUGGAUUAUGUCAAGUUGUCAACAGGUUAAGUCACGGAAAAAAGUUAAAUAUUUAUAAAUGCAGCAUCAAACUGAGAAAGAGAGAAGGGAAAAAUUUAUAAAUGCAGCAUCAAACUGAGAAAGAGAGAAGGGAAAUCCAUUUGACAGAUAUCCAAAUAUUCAAAAAAAACGAAAGCAAUUUUAGCUAGUCUUCCUGGCAAUCGGCUUACCCUAUGGCAGAUCACUGGUUCUUACAAGGUGCAGAAACACUUGGUUGAGACGGCAAGUAUAACUGUAUAAGUGUAUAAUCACUUGUAAUCCACUUGCACACACAACUGACAUAACAAAUACAAAAUUUACAUACCGUUGUCAUCGAAGGCUCAACUCUCCGAUUCCCC
rnacentral:lncRNA from 1 species